GGUUGAUCCUGCCAGUAGUCAUAUGCUUGUCUCAAAGAUUAAGCCAUGCAUGUCUAAGUAUAAACAAAUCUAUACUGUGAAACUGCGAAUGGCUCAUUAAAUCAGUUAUAGUUUAUUUGAUAGUACCUUACUACUCGGAUAACCGUGGUAAUUCUAGAGCUAAUACGUGCUAAAAAUCCCGACUUUGCGGAAGGGAUGUAUUUAUUAGAUAAAAAACCAACCCGGGCAACCGGUUUUUUGGUGAUUCAUGAUAACUUUUCGAAUCGUAUGACCUUGAGUCGACGAUGGUUCAU
rnacentral:rRNA from 1 species